GAUGAACGCUGGCGGCGUGCCUAAUACAUGCAAGUCGAGCGAACAGAUGAGGAGCUUGCUCCUCUGACGUUAGCGGCGGACGGGUGAGUAACACGUGGAUAACCUACCUAUAAGACUGGGAUAACUUCGGGAAACCGGAGCUAAUACCGGAUAAUAUAUUGAACCGCAUGGUUCAAUAGUGAAAGACGGUUUUGCUGUCACUUAUAGAUGGAUCCGCGCCGCAUUAGCUAGUUGGUAAGGUAACGGCUUACCAAGGCGACGAUGCGUAGCCGACCUGAGAGGGUGAUCGGCCACACUGGAACUGAGACACGGUCCAGACUCCUACGGGAGGCAGCAGUAGGGAAUUUUCCGCAAUGGGCGAAAGCCUGACGGAGCAACGCCGCGUGAGUGAUGAAGGUCUUCGGAUCGUAAAACUCUGUUAUUAGGGAAGAACAAAUGUGUAAGUAACUAUGCACGUCUUGACGGUACCUAAUCAGAAAGCCACGGCUAACUACGUG
rnacentral:rRNA from 1 species